rnacentral:tRNA from 1 species
GCCGGUGUAGCUCAGGGGUAGAGCGUUUCCUUGGUAAGGAAGAGGUCAUGGGUUCAAAUCCCAUCAUUGGCUCAA